rnacentral:lncRNA from 1 species
UUUAGGAUUAUCCAUAUUUGGAUCUUACUCCUUAGCACCACAAACAAAGCAAACUCAGGAUGAUUAUGAAAACUUGAGAUAUUAUAUUGAGCACAUUGAGACUGUAAAGAAUACCUUACAAAUAGAACUCGUUGUAAACCUUCUUUCUCAACAGGGUGCAUCACAUCAAGAUCAGUUAGGUCUUCGUGCAACAGAUAUUUCACAGCCUCUGCACAGUAUAGUAGCUCCUCCAUCGGAUUCUUCCUAACGUGCCACAGAUGAAGAUGGAUUAGACGAGAAUAUCGAAGAUCUCCAUUGAUUACUUAG